rnacentral:rRNA from 1 species
UACGGAGGGGGCUAGCGUUGUUCGGAAUUACUGGGCGUAAAGCGCGCGUAGGCGGACCUGCAAGUCGGGGGUGAAAUCCUGGAGCUCAACUCCAGAACUGCCUUUGAUACUGGCGAUCUCGAGUCCGGGAGAGGUGAGUGGAACUGCGAGUGUAGAGGUGAAAUUCGUAGAUAUUCGCAAGAACACCAGUGGCGAAGGCGGCUCACUGGCCCGGUACUGACGCUGAGGUGCGAAAGCGUGGGGAGCAAACAGG